UGGGGAAUAUUGCACAAUGGGCGCAAGCCUGAUGCAGCAACGCCGCGUGAACGAUGAAGGUCUUCGGAUCGUAAAGUUCUGUUGCAGGGGAAGAUAAUGACGGUACCCUGUGAGGAAGCCCCGGCUAACUACGUGCCAGCAGCCGCGGUAAUACGUAGGGGGCUAGCGUUAUCCGGAUUUACUGGGCGUACAGGGUGCGUAGGUGGUCUUUCAAGUCGGUGGUUAAAGGCUACGGCUCAACCGUAGUUAGCCUCCGAAACUGGAAGACUUGAGUGCAGGACAGGAAAGUGGAAUUCCCAGUGUAGCGGUGAAAUGCGUAGAUAUUGGGAGGAACACCAGUAGCGAAGGCGGCUUUCUGGACUGCAACUGACACUGAGGCACGAAAGCGUGGGUAGCAAACAGG
rnacentral:rRNA from 1 species